ACAGAACGUCUCCUAGAGAUCGUCAUUCAGCUGCAGAUCACAGAGAUAUUCAAAAUAGACCUACUUUUCUAAAGAUUAUCUAAAAACCAACUCACCAAUCAAAAUGGGCAAGGCUCUGUUCUUCGUUCUGGCUUGUGCCCUCAUCGUCGCCGUCAUCGCUGAUUACGAGAUCAACGACGACACCCUUGAAUUCUUUGAGACCGAGAAGAGGGGUAUGGGACGUAAUCUCAGGAAGUACAAGACCUGCCAACAAUUCGGCAUGGAAUGCUGGUGCAACAGGCGUAGUGGUUCAGUCGUCUUCUGUAGCGGUGCCGGAAAUGGAGAUAACAUGUAAAAUCUUUGCUAGCACCAGUUGACCAAUCCCGACUUCAGAAUGAAAUGACGUACGGAACAGUCUUGACCAAUCAAAUUCGCUCUUUUUCUAUAAUUUUCCUACUUUCAAUCUUAUGGAUUCCAAUAUUCAGUGAUACUGUAAUAAAGAUAUUUUAAACAAA